UAAAUUGAAGCCGAAUGUUUAGGGAUUUAGCUGUUAAUUAAGAGUAAGUGGGAUAAAUACCCUCCAAUUUAG
rnacentral:tRNA from 1 species